GGUGGUUCUCUGGUGAUGCACCCCGGAAUUGGGCUCCCUCCUUUCUGGUUCCGGAUGUGUCACCUAAGAACUGCA
rfam:Myotis brandtii contig180451, whole genome shotgun sequence.